UAGAGAGUAAUCUUACAUACAGCACAGAAUACAGUCUGACUAUUUGGACAGUUGGAUGUGGGGGAUGGGGCAUGAUCACCACGACUUGCAAAACAGGAGUCACAGUGGUCAUCACCACGGCUGUUGGGGCCACCUGUGGGAUCUUGACCGUCUGUCUAUGCAUUGCUAUAGCUGUCUUCAUCUUCUUGAAGAGGAAAGCUUCUAGAAGGCCUGCUUCU